rnacentral:rRNA from 1 species
GACGUAGGGUGCAAGCGUUGUCCGGAAUUAUUGGGCGUAAAGAGCUCGUAGGCGGUCUGUCGCGUCGGCUGUGAAAUCCCGGAGCUCAACUCCGGGCCUGCAGUCGAUACGGGCAGACUGGAGUUCGGCAGGGGAGACUGGAAUUCCUGGUGUAGCGGUGAAAUGCGCAGAUAUCAGGAGGAACACCGGUGGCGAAGGCGGGUCUCUGGGCCGAUACUGACGCUGAGGAGCGAAAGCGUGGGGAGCGAACAGG